UACGAAGGGGGCUAGCGUUGCUCGGAAUUACUGGGCGUAAAGGGCGCGUAGGCGGAUAUUUAAGUUAGAGGUGAAAGCCCAGGGCUCAACCCUGGAAUAGCCUUUAAUACUGGAUAUCUUGAGUUCGGGAGAGGUGAGUGGAACUCCGAGUGUAGAGGUGAAAUUCGUAGAUAUUCGGAAGAACACCAGUGGCGAAGGCGACUCACUGGACACGUAUUGACGCUGAGGUGCGAAAGCGUGGGGAGCAAACAGG
rnacentral:rRNA from 1 species